GGUCAAGCGAACAAGUGCAUGUGGUGGAUGCCUUGGCGAUUACAGGCGAUGAAGGACGCGGUAGCCUGCGAAAAGCUUCGGGGAGCUGGCAAACGAGCUUUGAUCCGGAGAUGUCCGAAUGGGGAAACCCGGCCCGAAUGGGUCAUCCCUGACUGAAUACAUAGGUCAGGGAAGCGAACGCGGCGAACUGAAACAUCUAAGUAGCUGCAGGAACAGAAAUCAACCGAGAUUCCCAAAGUAGUGGCGAACGAAAUGGGAAGAGCCUUGUACUCUUUAGCAGCAUUGUUAGCAGAACGGGAUGGAAAGCCCGGCCAUAGCAGGUGAUAGCCCUGUAUGCGAAAACAGCGUUGUGGAACUAGGUGUACGACAAGUAGGGCGGGACACGUGAAAUCCUGUCUGAAGAUGGGGGGACCAUCCUCCAAGGCUAAAUACUCGUAAUCGACCGAUAGUGAACCAGUACCGUGAGGGAAAGGCGAAAAGAACCCCGGGAGGGGAGUGAAAUAGAUCCUGAAACCGCAUGCAUACAAACAGUCGGAGCCUGGAAACGGGUGACGGCGUACCUUUUGUAUAAUGGGUCAGCGACUUACAUUCAGUGGCAAGCUUAACCGAUUAGGGAAGGCGUAGCGAAAGCGAGUCCGAAUAGGGCGUUGAGUCGCUGGGUGUAGACCCGAAACCAGAUGAUCUAUCCAUGGCCAGGUUGAAGGUGCGGUAACACGUACUGGAGGACCGAACCCACUAACGUUGAAAAGUUAGGGGAUGAGCUGUGGAUAGGGGUGAAAGGCUAAACAAAUCUGGAAAUAGCUGGUUCUCUCCGAAAACUAUUUAGGUAGUGCCUCGUGUCUCACCUUCGGGGGUAGAGCACUGUCAUGGUUGGGGGGUCUAUUGCUGAUUACCCCGCCAUAGCAAACUCCGAAUACCGAAGAGUGCAAUCACGGGAGACAGACAUCGGGUGCUAACGUCCGGUGUCAAGAGGGAAACAACCCAGACCGCCAGCUAAGGUCCCAAAGAUUGGCUAAGUGGGAAACGAAGUGGGAAGGCUAAAACAGUCAGGAGGUUGGCUUAGAAGCAGCCACCCUUUAAAGAAAGCGUAAUAGCUCACUGAUCGAGUCGUCCUGCGCGGAAGAUGUAACGGGGCUAAGCCAGUCACCGAAGCUGCGGACGCACGCAAGUGCGUGGUAGGAGAGCGUUCUGUAAGCCUGUGAAGGUGUCUUGUAAAGGAUGCUGGAGGUAUCAGAAGUGCGAAUGCUGACAUGAGUAGCGAUAAAGGGGGUGAAAGGCCCCCUCGCCGUAAGCCCAAGGUUUCCUACGCAACGUUCAUCGGCGUAGGGUGAGUCGGCCCCUAAGGCGAGGCAGAGAUGCGUAGCUGAUGGGAAGCAGGUUAAUAUUCCUGCACCGUCGUAUGAUGCGAUGGGGGGACGGAUCGCGGAAGGUUGUCCGGGUGUUGGAAGUCCCGGUCCCUGCAUUGGAGAAGGCGCUUAGGCAAAUCCGGGCGCGGAAUUCAAGGAUGUGGGGCGAGCGGCCUAGUGCUGCGAAGCAAUUGGAAGUGGUUCCAAGAAAAGCCUCUAAGCUUCAGUCAUACGAGACCGUACCGCAAACCGACACAGGUGGGCGAGAUGAGUAUUCUAAGGCGCUUGAGAGAACUCGGGAGAAGGAACUCGGCAAAUUGGUACCGUAACUUCGGGAUAAGGUACGCCCUUGUAGCUUGACUGGCCUGCGCCAGGAGGGUGAAGGGGUUGCAAUAAAAUGGUGGCUGCGACUGUUUAAUAAAAACACAGCACUCUGCAAACACGAAAGUGGACGUAUAGGGUGUGACGCCUGCCCGGUGCCGGAAGAUUAAAUGAUGGGGUGCAAGCUCUUGAUUGAAGUCCCGGUAAACGGCGGCCGUAACUAUAACGGUCCUAAGGUAGCGAAAUUCCUUGUCGGGUAAGUUCCGACCUGCACGAAUGGCGUAACGAUGGCCACACUGUCUCCUCCCGAGACUCAGCGAAGUUGAAGUGUUUGUGAUGAUGCAAUCUCCCCGCGGCUAGACGGAAAGACCCCAUGAACCUUUACUGUAGCUUUGCAUUGGACUUUGAACCGAUCUGUGUAGGAUAGGUGGGAGGCUUUGAAGCGUGGACGCUAGUUCACGUGGAGCCGUCCUUGAAAUACCACCCUGGUUUGUUUGAGGUUCUAACCUUGGCCCGUGAAUCCGGGUCGGGGACAGUGCAUGGUAGGCAGUUUGACUGGGGCGGUCUCCUCCCAAAGUGUAACGGAGGAGUUCGAAGGUACGCUUGGUACGGUCGGACAUCGUACCUAAAGUGCAAUGGCAAAAGCGUGCUUAACUGCGAGACCGACAAGUCGAGCAGGUGCGAAAGCAGGACAUAGUGAUCCGGUGGUUCUGAAUGGAAGGGCCAUCGCUCAACGGAUAAAAGGUACUCUGGGGAUAACAGGCUGAUACCGCCCAAGAGUUCAUAUCGACGGCGGUGUUUGGCACCUCGAUGUCGGCUCAUCUCAUCCUGGGGCUGUAGCCGGUCCCAAGGGUAUGGCUGUUCGCCAUUUAAAGAGGUACGUGAGCUGGGUUUAAAACGUCGUGAGACAGUUUGGUCCCUAUCUGCCGUGGGCGUUGGAAUCUUGACGGGGGCUGCUCCUAGUACGAGAGGACCGGAGUGGACGUACCGCUGGUGUACCUGUUGUCUCGCCAGAGGCAUCGCAGGGUAGCUAUGUACGGAAGAGAUAACCGCUGAAAGCAUCUAAGCGGGAAACUCGCCUGAAGAUGAGGAUUCCCUGGAGGCUUGACCUCCUUGAAGGGUCGUUCGAGACCAGGACGUUGAUAGGCUGGGUGUGGAAGCGCAGUAAUGCGUUAAGCUAACCAGUACUAAUUGCCCGUAAGGCUUGAUCC
rnacentral:rRNA from 1 species